rnacentral:rRNA from 1 species
AGACCUGGCGUGUGCUCCCAUGCUCAUCGAACGAGGUAGCAUACCUAGUGGCGGACGGGUGAGUAACGCGUGGGAAUCUGCCCAAGGGUGGGGGAUAACUAACCGAAAGGUUAGCUAAUACCGCAUAUGCCGUGAGGUAAAAGGAGUAAUCCGCCCCUGGAUGAGCCUGCGUCCGAUUAGCUUGUUGGUAGGGUAAAAGCCUACCAAGGCUACGAUCGGUAGCUGGUCUGAGAGGAUGAUCAGCCACAAUGGGACUGAGACACGGCCCAUACUCCUACGGGAGGCAGCAGUGGGGAAUUUUACGCAAUGGGGGAAACCCUGACGUAGCGACACCGCGUGAGCGAAGAAGCCCUUUGGGGUGUAAAGCUCUGUCAGCAGGGACGAAAAAAAUGACGGUACCUGCAGAGGAAGCA